rnacentral:rRNA from 1 species
CCCGGUGAGAUUUUAACGGCCGCAGUUAGGAGCUGUGCUAAGGUAGCGUAGUAAGUUGUCCUUUAAAUGGGGAAAGGAAUGAAUGGUUUGACGUGGGAUAAACUGUCUCCAGAGAAAAAAAAUAAAUUUUCUUCUCGGUGAAAAGCCCGAGAUUAUAUUAAAAGACGAGAAGACCCUUUCGAGCUUGAUUAAUUUAUAAAGAUUUUUAUAAUGAAAGUUUGGUUGGGGCAACUUAGGAGCAAAUAGAGACUCCUUUAAGAUUAUAGGAAUCCAAAAAUUUUGAAAAAAGAAAAAGCUACCGUAGGGAUAACAGCGUUAUCUUUUCUGAGAGAACAAAUUGAAGGAAAG